rnacentral:rRNA from 1 species
AGAGGGGGAUAACAUUCUGAAAAGAAUGCUAAUACCGCAUGACAUAUCGGAACCACAUGGUUCUGAUAUCAAAGAUUUUAUCGCUUGAAGAUGGACUCGCGUCCGAUUAGUUAGUUGGUGAGGUAACGGCUCACCAAGACCGCGAUCGGUAGCCGGACUGAGAGGUUGAACGGCCACAUUGGGACUGAGACACGGCCCAGACUCCUACGGGAGGCAGCAGUGGGGGAUAUUGCGCAAUGGGGGCAACCCUGACGCAGCAACGCCGCGUGAAGGAUGAAGGUUUUCGGAUUGUAAACUUCUUUUAUUAAGGACGAAAAAUGACGGUACUUAAUGAAUAAGCUCCGGCUAACUACGUGCCAGCAGCCGCGGUAAUACGUAGGGAGCAAGCGUUGUCCGGAUUUACUGGGUGUAAAGGGUGCGUAGGCGGCUUUGCAAGUCAGAUGUGAAAUCUAUGGGCUCAACCCAUAAACUGCAUUUGAAACUGUAGAGCUUGAGUGAAGUAGAGGCAGGCGGAAUUCCCCGUGUAGCGGUGAAAUGCGUAGAGAUGGGGAGGAACACCAGUGGCGAAGGCGGCCUGCUGGGCUUUAACUGACGCUGAGGCACGAAAGCGUGGGUAGCAAACAGGAUUAGAUACCCUGGUAGUCCACGCUGUAAACGA